UACGUAGGGUGCAAGCGUUGUCCGGAAUUAUUGGGCGUAAAGAGCUCGUAGGCGGUCUGUCGCGUCGGCUGUGAAAACCCGGGGCUCAGCCCCGGGCCUGCAGUCGAUACGGGCAGACUAGAGUGCGGUAGGGGAGACUGGAAUUCCUGGUGUAGCGGUGAAAUGCGCAGAUAUCAGGAGGAACACCGGUGGCGAAGGCGGGUCUCUGGGCCGUAACUGACGCUGGAGGAGCGAAAGCGUGGGGAGCGAACAGG
rnacentral:rRNA from 1 species